rfam:Candidatus Desantisbacteria bacterium CG2_30_40_21 cg2_3.0_scaffold_2482_c, whole genome shotgun sequence.
UAAGCAAAUUAGAUGGUCGCUGUUGGAAACAACAGAGGAAAGUCCGAGCACCGCAGGGCAGGAUGCUGGGUAACACCCAGUGAGGGCAACCUCAAGGAAAGUGCAACAGAAAAUACACCGCCGAUGGUGCUCAAGUAGCCAGGCUAAUCUGAUUUUAGAGGCAUGAGAGACUUUGAGUAGAGUAAACUGUUAUGAAGGCUGGUGAAAUGAUGCCGAUGGUUACUAUGCUCAAAAAAUUUGAGUAUAGUAAGUUGUUAUGUCUGAAAUUCGCGAGUUUCAUGCCUACAGUGGAAAGUUUAGUGUGUUGCUAUGAGAUUAGUCUGGUUAUCUUGAGUACUCAGGUAAGGUUGAAAUGGUGAGGUAAGAGCUUACCAGCAGAGGGGCGAUCCUCUGGCUUGGAAAACCCCAUCCGGUGCAAGACCAAAUAGGAAGGAUUUUGAGAUUACUCAAGGUAGUUGCUCGCUGUUUCCUUCGGGUAGGUCGCUUGAGGUAAAUGGUAAUAUUUAUCCCAGAUAGAUGACCAUCAAGAGGGUUUUUCCCUUUCACAAAACUCGGCUUAUAAUUUGCUUAUACU